AACAACUGAAAAAAGGUGAGUCCCUCUUAUCGGCUGAAUGCCCAGACCGAACCCCCAGCAGAAUAGCAGAGUGAACCUGAGAGAGUUAGUGUCCAUUUUUAAGACAAAACCAAUUCAGGAGAGAGAGAGCGAGAAAGAGUUUUUUCAUGAUGGCAACCAACAACAAAGGAGGAAGCUACCCCAAAGUCGGAGGAGAUAGGAGAAAAAGGACCGUUUUCACUCCUGCCCAAAUCGAGGAUUUAAAGAAGGAGUUUGAAGAGAACCAGUACCCCGGAUACCAGACUAGGGAGGCGCUGGCGAGGUGCAUCGGAGUCGAAGAAGAUCGUGUGCACUUAAGAAGAGGGAUAGUGGGGGUUCCUAGGACUUCCUUAAACCACAAAUACUGGAUAAAUUUAAAUCGCUCAGAAUAAUUCUUUCGUUGUCAUUCGAUUUCGUUAGAUCUUCCUGAUGCCUCCGAGCUUAACGUGAAAGACCUGGUUUCAGAACUGAAGAGCGAGAACAAAGAUGACUGGGUGGGUCCAAAACAAUGAUCAGGAACCGAGCUACAACUCCUUAUAGCCGCUCUGACAGAAGAAGUCCAAGCAUUCCGAGAAGCAGUGCAAGAAGUCCGACGCAGCAACAUUACCAGCCACGCAGCUUCCAUUAUCCCGAAAGCUAAGAAGGAGCAGGGUUCUGGCAGGCACAUCUCAGCACCACGCAACCAGGAGAGCCCGUCUAUGCCACACAGCAGCAGAACUCCCAGGAACUGAACCCUGUUCAUUACCAGCCAGCUGCUGUUGGUGGAACAGCGCUUUGUGAGACUUCCAAGGCAAGCAACUGCCCAGUUCCAUAUUAUGGUGCAGAGAUGAUGUACUCCACUAUCGAAUGGUAACUUCUGUACUCCAUCAAGCAGUAAAACUCCCUGGUCUGCAAUGGGGAACAGUCAUGCAAUGGGGAACAGUUAUGCAACGGGGAAUUAUACAGCUGCAAAUCCUGUGCAAAUGUUGCCUGACCUGAAGAUUACCAAAAUUGGCAGCAAAG